GUACACUUCUCAAUCCCCGAUCAUCUGUCUUUGAAGUUCAGGAUUUCUCCUCUUUUUCAGAUUCGAGAAUCAGUUGUUAAGACAUUGCGCUUUUGCGUGUCAACAUUUUCAGGAAGAGACCCUGUGACAACAAAAGCUUUGUUGCCCUCUGAAAAG